CGGGACCGCCACGUCCACCCCGGAAGACCCGGUCCCUGAAGCCUCUCAGUGCCCAAGUGGACGUGCCGACCCAGAGUUACCAAAUUUAAAAUCAAGUCGACGUGGAUUUUCAUCCCGGUGCUGUCACUUACUGGCUUCCUGCUACCGGAAACUCCGGACUUCUGCCUCCCUUUGGCUACCGUGGAUAAUGUCCCAGACAAAAUUAGUUAAAUAAUUGACAGCAUUCAAUCGAGUGCCUGGUGUAUACAGGUGCCUGGUGGAUAUUUGUUGGAUUAACCUGGCUUCCCCCUUUGCUGAAUUCUACACCUGGGAAGGCUCCCCAGGGCAUUCUUCCUGUCCGUGGCCUUGUCAAAUGUCAUGUCCUGUGACCUGCCACUCCAGCCUUCUUUCUAGAGGUUGGUACUUUGCAUAUAGCAAGAGUGAUGGAUCUUUCCAGAAUUCAAGGUCUCUGUAUUGCCUCUUUCAUAUCUGUUCUGAGAUACUUAUUUCAAGAGUUUACUUAGAUAAAAUUCGACAUGGAAAUCUCAUCUUUUUGUUUGGUUUUUGGUGGCCAAUUUGCCUUCUAUUUGGGGGAGGAGGGUAGAGUAUUACGUAAAAGUCAUCCUGAAUUAUAUGAGCAUUUGUCAACAGUAUUUUCUGCCGGCACUGCAAAUGUGGUUCACCUUGUGGAUGUGCAAUAAGACACUAGCAACUUCAGGGUCCUGUCCCUGUGACUUCUCUAGCUCUCGAAUAUGACAAAUUCCAAAUGAGGAAAAAAACAAAGCAACCAAUGUCCAGUCUCUAUGUGGGCCUUAGCAGUCACAGAGCGCUUCUGAUCUGUUACAUCCAUUUAAUCCUCAGCACAGCCCAUUUCCCAGAUGAACCUCAUUGAGGCAGAGUGACUGACCCAGAGCUCAUUUCCAUGACAGAGUCGCCUCUCCAGUCCUGCCUCCUCUCCACACUGCUCUCCCAGGCUCUGACGUGGGGCUGCUCCCUGCCGUCUGAGCAAACGUUCUUAGAGACUCUUUAGAAAUGAUAGGACAUGAACUUUAUUAAUACAGAGCACUAAACAAAUUAGAGAGUUUUCCCAUAUUAUAAGGUAUGUGACAGCUGUUAUUUUACCCAUACUAUUCAUUAUGGGGCUGUUUGUUUAAAGGUUGCCCUGGUGGCUUGGGGACAGUGCCUUUUGCUCUCUGACUCACAGGAAGCAAAAAUAAGUUACUGUCAGGUGAUGGUCAUACUUAGAAGCCAAACUAAAAAUGAGAAGUUUGUCAUCCUUGGGUGUAGGGCAGUUGGCACCACUUCUCAAACUGGUAAGUGCCAGGCUGUUCAAAAUAUAAGAUUUUCUUUGUGUCAUGCAUGUUUUUUUUUGUGUGUGUGUGAGGAAGAUCAGCCCUGAGCUAACAUCCAUGU